ACACUGAUGGUGAAGCGGUUAUCAUGCUUGACUUCCACUCACGUGAUUUACGCUUACGUAAUCAGUUAGCAAGCGGCAGGGGUUCGACUCCCCUUCAGUGUA